UACGUAGGGUGCAAGCGUUGUCCGGAAUUAUUGGGCGUAAAGAGCUCGUAGGCGGUCUGUCGCGUCGGCUGUGAAAACUCGGGGCUCAACCCCGAGCCUGCAGUCGAUACGGGCAGACUAGAGUGCUGUAGGGGAGACUGGAAUUCCUGGUGUAGCGGUGAAAUGCGCAGAUAUCAGGAGGAACACCAACGGCGAAGGCAGCACUCUGGGCCGGUACUGACGCUGAGGAGCGAAAGCGUGGGGAGCGAACAGG
rnacentral:rRNA from 1 species